CCUACGGGAGGCAGCAGUGGGGAAUAUUGCACAAUGGGCGCAAGCCUGAUGCAGCCAUGCCGCGUGUAUGAAGAAGGCCUUCGGGUUGUACAGUACUUUCAGUCGGGAGGAAGGUGGUGAGCUUAAUACGCUCAUCAAUUGUCGUUACCGACAGAAGAAGCACCGGCUAACUCCGUGCCAGCAGCCGCGGUAAUACGGAGGGUGCAAGCGUUAAUCGGAAUUACUGGGCGUAAAGCGCACGCAGGCGGUUGAUUGAGUCAGAUGUGAAAUCCCCGGGCUUAACCCGGGAAUUGCAUCUGAUACUGGUCAGCUAGAGUCUUGUAGAGGGGGGUAGAAUUCCAUGUGUAGCGGUGAAAUGCGUAGAGAUGUGGAGGAAUACCGGUGGCGAAGGCGGCCCCCUGGACAAAGACUGACGCUCAGGUGCGAAAGCGUGGGGAGCAAACAGGAUUAGAUACCCCUGUAGUC
rnacentral:rRNA from 1 species